UACGUAUGGUGCAAGCGUUAUCCGGAUUUACUGGGUGUAAAGGGAGCGUAGGCGGCGCGUUAAGUCUGAUGUGAAAACCCGAGGCUCAACCACGGGAGUGCAUUGGAAACUGGCGGGCUAGAGUGCCGGAGAGGUAAGCGGAAUUCCUAGUGUAGCGGUGAAAUGCGUAGAUAUUAGGAGGAACACCAGUGGCGAAGGCGGCUUACUGGACGGCAACUGACGCUGAGGCUCGAAAGCGUGGGGAGCAAACAGG
rnacentral:rRNA from 1 species